AAGUCGUAACAAGGUUUCCGUAGGUGAACCUGCGGAAGGAUCAUUAUUGAAAUAAACCUGAUAGGUUGCUGCUGGUUCUUUAAUGAAUAUGUGCACACCUGUUAUCUUUAUAUCUCCACCUGUGCACUUUUUGUAGACUUGGACAAGUUUCUUGAUGCUCGCAUUAAGGUUUUGGGAUUGACUUUUGUCUCUCCUUAUAUCUCCAGGUCUAUGUUUAUUCAUAUACCCUAAUGUAUGUUAUAGAAUGUAAUAAGUGGGCCUUUGUGCCUAUAACACAAUACAACUUUCAGCAACGGAUCUCUUGGCUCUCGCAUCGAUGAAGAACGCAGCGAAAUGCGAUAAGUAAUGUGAAUUGCAGAAUUCAGUGAAUCAUCGAAUCUUUGAACGCACCUUGCGCUCCUUGGUAUUCCGAGGAGCAUGCCUGUUUGAGUGUCAUUAAUAUAUCAACCUCUUCAGUUUUUUUGCUUGUUGAGUGCUGGAUAUGGGGGCCUUUUGCUGGUCUUUUAAAGAGGUCAGCUCCCCUAAAAUCUAUUAGCGGAACAAUUUGUUGACCGUCCAUUGGUGUGAUAAUUAUCUACGCUAUUGACGUGAGGCAGUUCAGCUUCUAACAGUCCAUUGACUUGGACAGUUUUUUUCAUUAAUGUGACCUCAAAUCACGUAGGACUACCCGCUGAACUUAA
rnacentral:rRNA from 1 species